UUCGCGGCCUUAUCAGCUUGUUGGUGGGGUAAUGGCCUUCCAAGGCGACGACGGGUAGCCGGCCUGAGAGGGCGACCGGCCACACUGGGACUGAGACACGGCCCAGACUCCUACGGGAGGCAGCAGUGGGGAAUAUUGCACAAUGGGCGAAAGCCUGAUGCAGCGACGCCGCGUGAGGGAUGACGGCCUUCGGGUUGUAAACCUCUUUCAGCAGGGAAGAAGCGCAAGUGACGGUACCUGCAGAAGAAGCGCCGGCUAACUACGUGCCAGCAGCCGCGGUAAUACGUAGGGCGCAAGCGUUGUCCGGAAUUAUUGGGCGUAAAGAGCUCGUAGGCGGCUUGUCGCGUCGGAUGUGAAAGCCCGGGGCUUAACCCCGGGUCUGCAUUCGAUACGGGCAGGCUAUAGUUCGGUAGGGGAGAUCGUAAUUCCUGGUGUAUGGGUGAAAUGCGCAGAUAUCAGGAGGAACACCGGUGGCGAAGGCGGAUCUUUGGGCCGAUACUGACGCUGAGGAGCUAAAGCGUGGGGAGUGAACAGGAUUAGAUACCCUGGUAGUCCACGCCGUAAACGUUGGGAACUAGGUGUGGGCGACAUCCCCGUCUUCCGUGCCGCCGGUUACGUAUUAAGUUCCCCGCCUGGGGAGGUACGGGAAUU
rnacentral:rRNA from 1 species